GACCAUUGGAUCAUGGCCAUCCUGUGCUGCAUUCUUUAAUUGACAGUUCUUAUUCCAUCUGGUUAGUUACUCAACAUUCACCAACCAAAAAGACUGGCAAGAAGCCUUCAAACUUUGGACUUGUGCUGGAAAUUGCUUUAAAGUAGCCUAUACAGGCACUUGAGUAUAAAUGCUGCCAGACCUCUGCCAAUUCCACU